GACGAACGCUGGCGGCGUGCUUAACACAUGCAAGUCGAACGGAAAGGCCCUGCUUUUGUGGGGUGCUCGAGUGGCGAACGGGUGAGUAACACGUGAGUAACCUGCCCUUGACUUUGGGAUAACUUCAGGAAACUGGGGCUAAUACCGGAUAGGAGCUCCUGCUGCAUGGUGGGGGUUGGAAAGUUUCGGCGGUUGGGGAUGGACUCGCGGCUUAUCAGCUUGUUGGUGGGGGAGUGGCUUACCAAGGCUUUGACGGGUAGCCGGCCUGAGAGCGUGACCGGCCACAUUGGGACUGAGAGACGGCCCAGACUCCUACGUGAGGCAGCAGUGGGGAAUAUUGCACAAUGGGCGGAAGCCUGAUGCAGCAACGCCGCGUGCGGGAUGACGGCCUUUGGGUUGUAAACCGCUUUCGCCUGUGACGAAGCGUGAGUGACGGUAAUGGGUAAAGAAGCACCGGCUAACUACGUG
rnacentral:rRNA from 1 species